UACGUAGGGGGCGAGCGUUGUCCGGAUUUAUUGGGCGUAAAGAGCUCGUAGGCGGCUUGGCAAGUCGGGUGUGAAACCUCCAGCUCAACCUGGAGACGCCACUCGAUACUGCCAUGGCUAGAGUCCGGUAGGGGACCACGGAAUUCCUGGUGUAGCGGUGAAAUGCGCAGAUAAUCAGGAGGAACACCGGUGGCGAAGGCGGUGGUCUGGGCCGGCACUGACGCUGGAGGAGCGAAAGCGUGGGUAGCAAACAGG
rnacentral:rRNA from 1 species